AGGUUAAGUUAGAAAGGGCGCACGGUGAAUGCCUUGGCACUAGGAGCCGAUGAAGGACGGUACUAACACCGAUAUGCUUCG
rnacentral:rRNA from 1 species